rnacentral:rRNA from 1 species
GAGGGAUCAUUACACAAAUAUGAAGGCGGGCUGGAACCUCUCGGGGUUACAGCCUUGCUGAAUUAUUCACCCUUGUCUUUUGCGUACUUCUUGUUUCCUUGGUGGGUUCGCCCACCACUAGGACAAACAUAAACCUUUUGUAAUUGCAAUCAGCGUCAGUAACAAAUUAAUAAUUACAACUUUCAACAACGGAUCUCUUGGUUCUGGCAUCGAUGAAGAACGCAGCGAAAUGCGAUAAGUAGUGUGAAUUGCAGAAUUCAGUGAAUCAUCGAAUCUUUGAACGCACAUUGCGCCCUUUGGUAUUCCAAAGGGCAUGCCUGUUCGAGCGUCAUUUGUACCCUCAAGCUUUGCUUGGUGUUGGGCGUCUUGUCUCUAGCUUUGCUGGAGACUCGCCUUAAAGUAAUUGGCAGCCGGCCUACUGGUUUCGGAGCGCAGCACAAGUCGCACUCUCUAUCAGCAAAGGUCUAGCAUCCAUUAAGCCUUUUUUCAACUUUUGACCUCGGAUCAGGUAGGGAUACCCGCUGAACUUAA